rnacentral:rRNA from 1 species
AUGAACAUUCCUGAAUUUGAUGGAAGAGGCACAGAUUCGUGGAUACAAACCAUUGAAAUGUAUUUUGAUGCCGCUAGAACGCCGACUGAAAGUAAAACAGAAAUUGCAGUAACAUACCUCACUGGUCCUGCAAUGGAAUGGUGGAGAGGCACUAGAAUCCAAGCUAACACUCUGCCCUGGUAUCGAUUUUGCAGACAUGUGGGAGACAGAUUUGCUGAAAAUUCUGUUUGUGAUAAUGUCAGGGCAUUCCAUGCACUCAUUCAGUCAGGCAGUCUUAAUGAUUACAUCCUCAAAUUUGAACAGCACAUGAAUCUCAUGAGGAGGGACAAUCCUGCCCUCCCAAAUGACUAUUUCAAAAACAGUUUCAUAGCUGGCCUGCAUGACAGCAUACAACACUAUGUCCAGUGUCAUGAAUCUGCUGAUUUACAAAGGGCAAUCUGGCUGGCUAGAAGAAUGGAGCAAGCCCAACCCCCAAGAAGGAAUUUUGCUCAGUUCCCUCCAACAGCUGCCAAGAAAUCAUUGGAGUUGGAACAACCCAGAACUAACAUCAAUAACACUCCGGCUGUUAUUCAACAAGCAAGACUCAAGGGUAUUUGCUAUAAAUGCAAAGAAACUUGGUUUCCUGGACACAAAAAGGUGUGUAAAAUGAGCAACCAAGCUCAAAUUCAGGCCUUGCAAGAACAGAACCCUGAUGAUACUGAUUUGGUCUAUGUCACUGAAAUGUCUGAAGAAAUGGAACAAGACAAUUAUGAACCACCUGAUCAACAGCAGUUACAAAUUUCCAUGCAUGCCUUAAUGGAAAUCAGCAAUUCCAAAUUCAGUUUUACUGUUACAGUAAUGGUGGGCAAACUCCCUGCUACUGCCCUAAUUAAUAGUGGUAGUUCUGCAACUUUCAUGUCUCCUGCUUUUGCUACGCUGAGCAAGUGCACUCUUACACCCACUAAGAAAACAAAGGUGUUGGUGGCCAAUGGAGGCACUUUGUGGACUGAAUUCAUGGCCCCAAACUGUCCAUAUACCAUUCAGGGUUUUGACCUUAUGGAAUUCCAGAUCACAAAGGACAAACAAAGGUUGUUCACUUUCUCGGAUGAAAGUUUGCCAUCUACUCCUGUCACUGAAUCUAGCUUGGAUAAGCAUAUAAUGGAGCAAUCAGUUUGUGGUGCAGUUAUUGUUGUCAACAAGUUACAGUCUGAAGAUACAUCAACAACCCCUGUGCACCCUCAAAUCAAGGCCAUGAUGGGAAAAUACAAAAAAGUCUUCUCUAGUCCUACUAUGUUGCCCCCUGCUAGGGCUUGUGACCAUGCAAUUCCUUUUAUACCUGGGGCCAAAGUAGUCAAUCAACGACCUUAUAGACUGCCUCAUCAUCAGAAGAAUGCUAUGGAGACCAUCAUCUAG